GUGCUCACUUUGGUAGCACAUAUAUUAAAAUUAGAAUGAUACAGAGAAAAUUAGCAUGGCCCCUGUGAAAAGAUGACAUGCAAAUUCAUGAAGCAUUCUAUAUUUUU
ensembl:snRNA RNU6-259P RNA, U6 small nuclear 259, pseudogene